rnacentral:lncRNA from 1 species
GUUUUAGUAAAAUAAAUGCAAACGAAGUGACGAGUUAUUUCCAGAUAGUUGACUUUCUCAUAGAUCUUCUAGCAGACAAGGUGUUCGACGAAUUCCUAUGAGAGCUCCUUAGAACUUGCUGAUAAUCUCUACCAUGAAACUGAGGCAAAUCCUCGGUUCUGUUUCUAGACUCGCUACAGAAAAGCUCUCUUCCUCUUCUCGUUGCCCGUCUAGACAGAUUUUCACCGCUUCGCAACGAAAUGCCGGAGGCAACCACUCAGAAGCUUUACCUGGGAAGCACAUCGAAUGGGCUUCGCUUGGUUCAGUCAGAAACUCGAGAUUCGCAUCUGGGUUCUCACCGUUGGAUUCGAUCAUGGAUUUGGAUAGAGCCAAGACAAUUUUCACUAUAUAUAUAUAUAUAUAUAUCAAAAUUUAAUUAUAUUUUGGUCAUUUUUGUUUUCUUGCUUUUAGUCGUCUUGGUUCACGCUCGAAUCAUCUAUACUGUGUCUAAUGUCAAGAUUAAAAGAAACGUGACAUAAUUUUCUUCCCUUGCAUGUAUGUGAGUACUCUUGUGAAAAUCACUCACUAUUUUAAAAACACGAAUCAAUAAAACUGAAUCAACUAGCCAAGGCUUAUCUAUAUAUAGUGCUGUCCAUGUCUUAUGCGAAAUGUUUUUUUCAUCAAAGUAAUACAACCUUUUUUUUUGUUAAAGGGUUUCGAAAUGAUACAACUUUGCGAUAGGAAUAAUGAACAGAUGGCGUAGAAGCAUCUAAGAAUUGAUGGAAAAAGAUUUAAGAUUCCCCCUGUGACAAGCUAAGCAAUAGAAUGUCCCACUAUCUUUGAUUCAUUCACAGGAGCCCCACGAAAAACACCAAAAAUGAUAAUGUGGAUUGUGGAUGGCUUCAACAAAACUCUUUUGCUUUUGAUGGUUUUUACUUACCAGAAUUAAUGUGAAUUGAACGGUGUGGCAAUGAUCGCUGGUAGUCGACCUGAUGCAUAGCAUAACAACUUUAGACGUUACAGGUCACAUAAGCUGCAUAUUCCCAAGAAGGUAAUAUAACUUUUUGCAUCGUUUACUUUAACUCUUGUGAAGUGUAUCAGAAGCUUCUGAUACACUUUGAUAUCUUUUGCAUCGUUUACUUACUUUAAAUUCCAUUUUGAGUCAAGAAUUGAUGGUGAGAUAUCAAUAUCGUCAACAGAAUGAAUAUUUUGGAGACAUUUUAUGAACUUUAUAGGUAUUUCUAGAUUUUGGAGAUACAUAUAGUGACAUAAAAUUAUCCGCACAGCUAACUUGUGGAAUGAGAUAUUCUGUCACUGAAUUACGUAUUUUUGUACCGUUCCGACCAAAGUAUACUAGUGAAAACAUUCUGAACUUUUGUCAAAAUUUUAAACUUAGGCACACUCUAGUGAAAAAAAAAUCAAUGUCGACAAAAUGCCUUUUCGUCAAAUAGUAAACAAAUUGAAAUCAUAAAACUUAAUCUCUUUUCAUCAUUUUACAAUUAAUAAUGCGUACCUGAUUUUUGUAAAAAAAUAAUUAUUAUAUUAAUUCUUUGGUUUCCUCAUAAAAAAUUUCUUUAUACUAUACAAAUUCUUUUGACUAAUAUAUCAAAUCAUCAUAAGAAAAAUAUCCUCCUUACAAACAAACAUAUCUUACUAUUUUAGACAAUUUUGGAAAUUUUUUUUGGAGAAUCGUAAAUAUAUAUUAUUAUCAUUUAACAAAAAUAAAUAAAAGAAAGUAAGUAAGUCAAUACAAAUCAGUCACAGUCAAUAAUAAUCCAUUAAAACAUUAGAUAAAAAUAUAUCCCAUAUUUGUUAAGUUCGGUAUACUUUACACAAAUUCCUCUACCAACAACCCGUUAAUGAUCAUUUGUAAAUGAAUUGACAGCCUAACAAUGUGUGGCUUUCCUAAAGAAUUGAUAUAUUUUUUAUUUUAUUUAAAAAAAAAAUUGAACCCAUAUAAUGCCAACAGUAUCUCCACCCAAGAAUCUGUUCACACUCCUCACUACUGUACUUACGUAUAAGUAUAUAAACAUGUAUAUACAAACUCAAUUCCAUCACAAAGCCUCUUCAAAAAUAACCCACAUCUUUUGUUUCAAAGAUGGGUUGCAAACGCAUCUCUCUUUUCCUUCUUCCACUUCUCACACUCACAAUCUUGUCCGGGGCCGACAAGGCCUUGGCUUCCGACAAGAAACCGCAAGUGAGCCACCGCAACAUAACGGGGUUGGCUGCCGCCGGAGGAGGAAAAGCGACGUUGAAAGGAAGGAAGCAAAAGUCUGGUUGUAACUUGUUUCAAGGGAAAUGGGUUUUCGAUGCUUCGUCUUACCCAUUGUACGAUUCGUCCACGUGUCCUUUCAUCGACGGCCAGUUUGACUGUCUCAAGUUCGGCCGGCCAGACAAAAAGUUCCUCAACUACUCUUGGCAACCUGAUUCAUGCACCAUCCCAAGGUAUGUAACAUCAACAUACAUACAAUUAGCAUAAUAAUAUUGAUAAUGAUAUGUUACGUAUAUAUGUGAUUGUAAAUUAAGGUUUGAUGGAGCAGCGUUUCUGAAUCAAUGGAGAGGGAAACGAGUGAUGUUCGUGGGAGACUCACUGAGUGUAAACAUGUGGGAAUCGUUGGGAUGUAUGAUCCAUGCGUCAGUACCAGGCAUCACGACCAAAUUUCUCAGACGUACCCCACUCUCCUUUCUCACUUUCCAGGUCUCUCUCUACUCUUCUUUUUUCAGUAUUAUAAUUUUUAAAUGUGUAUUUGGAUACAAACAAAACCUAAUAAUUCAUCAUCACGAGGAGGACUUGUCAAUUUCAUUUGAAUCGUGUUGAUCACGGGCUAAUAUAUUAUACUAUAUUUCUAUUUUUAUAAGAAUUGUGAAAAUGUUCUUUUUUGGUUUAAUUUUUUUUUGUGCAAACGCUUGACAUCCAAGGUAUUAUGAUUUUAUCAGCCUUACUGCCUAGUUGAUCAUACACAUACCUAAUUUAAAACUAUGAAUCAAUGAAAAAGGAGGUAAAAGAAAACGUAUAGAUUUUACUAACAAACAAUUGAUUUUCUUUUCUGCAAAGAGAUUUUUCUUUAAGAAGUUGUGCAUUUUGAUGUAGACGCAUGCGUCCACUAUAUAUUUUUGGUCUAUAUGGUUUAUGCUUCAAUAUACUAUUACUUAUCUCAGUGAAAACAAAUAUACACUACAAAAUAUUAAUAUGUGUGGGCUUAUCUAAAAUUAUAACUUAUCUUCUUCUUGUACAAAAUUACAGCUAAUUCUAUCUUAAAAUGAUAUUUUAUAUUCACAAUUUUAAAAAAAAAUUCAAUUCUGAUACAGUUGCGACUUCUUUAAUUAGUUUGACUAUUCAACAUGAACAUUGAAAACUAAGUAUAUUAACCACAAACCUAUGUAAGGUUAAAUCCUUAAUUUUUUUUUGUCUGGUUAAAUCCUUAAUUUAUUAGAAACAUUUAAAGCCUUUCUUUAAAAGAAAACAAUAACAUCCGAUACGGAAAAAUACGUAAUCCAAAUAUUUUUUCCACCGUAUUCUGUUUGCCUUUGUUUCUAGUGUUGACUUAGGGUUUUGGGAAUUUCUCUCUUCUAGUUGUUUUAAACAAAUUUAGAACAUAACAAUGUAUAUUAACUGGAAAAGACAAAAAGAAGAGAACAUUGCAGGAAGGGAAAGGAAGUAGGAGACCUGACACUCUGACAGCUAAUGACAACUAAUAAACCACUUCAAUUUGUUUUCUUCAAGUUAUAUUUUUAAACAUGGGAAAACAUGUUACAUAUUAAAAAGUUGGACCCGGAAAAAUGUGUGCAUUUUAGUCUAAUUGAUUAUCGUCUAUAUAUUGUGUACAAAAAAUUGAAUAUAUUUUCAUGUAUAGUAAAAAUUAUUAGAAUUUCUCAAACCUUUUUUUAAACGAUUAAAAACAGGAAUAUGGAGUUACUUUAUACCUAUACCGAACGCCAUACCUAGUGGAUAUCUCCAAAGAAAAGGUAGGGCGUGUGCUUAACCUUGGAACCAUCGAAAAUGGUGCUGAUGUUUGGAAAGACGUGGACAUUCUUGUGUUCAAUUCUUGGCACUGGUGGGUUAACAAAGGAGUAAAAUCUCAAAGGUUCGUACCAUAUAUCCUACACUCAUGUAUAAUACAUGGUCUAAUUUGAGAUUGUCUUAAGACAUGGUCCAACCAAAUCAUCUUCUCUUCUUCUAUUGUUGUUGUUAUAACAGGUGGGAUUUUAUAAGAAAUGGGUCUUCACUGAUAAGAGACAUGAACCGUCUUGAUGCUUUCAACUUAGGACUCACCACUUGGGCUCAAUGGGUUGAUCAAAAUGUUAAUACUUCGCAAACCCGAGUUUUCUUCCAAGGCAUUUCUCCUACACAUUACGUGUAAGUUCACUAUACAUAAUAUGUACAUACAUUUGUCGUAUGAAAAUUGGUGUUUUAAGUAAAAUAUAUUGACUUGUUUAUUGGGGAAAAUUAUUAGAGGAAAGGAGUGGAAUGAGCCGAUGAAGACUUGCAACGGGCAGAUGCAACCGUUGACAGGGUCGACAUACCCGGGUGGUUCACUUCCUGCAGCAAGCAUUGUGUCACGAGUGUUGAGAUCCAUGAAGACACCCGUUUACCUACUCGACAUCACAACUCUGUCUCAGCUAAGAAAAGAUGCGCAUCCAUCUAUUUAUGGAGUAACUGGACGAACCGAUUGCAGCCACUGGUGCCUUCCUGGCUUGCCGGAUACUUGGAACCAGCUUCUCUAUGCAGCUCUUUCGAUGUGAAGAACUUGACUCAACAUGGUAUAUUACAUUCUUGGAGUCCAAAGGAAAUAAAGGGAACGACUUACAUUUACUUGGAAGGUUUACAAACAGGAUGUCGAUAAAUUAAAGUUGCAAAGCGUUUUAUAUUAUUUUCAUUUGGCGGGGGUGAAACUAUAAUCUACUAAUCUUGUGAUUGUUUCAAGAAAUAAAAUUAUCUAAAGUAGCACAUUAUAUCAUUGCUGGAUUAUUAUGUAUAUCACAGUAAACAUACACGGUUUGUUGUUUCCUGUUGAAUUAGAUUGGAUUACCUCGGUAACAACAAUUAACAGAUUUAAAACUCGAAUCACCGCUUAUAUAGUUGUUCAACACAAAUCUUGACUUUUGGGAUCUUGUGACUUGGGUAUGGUUCGACCCAGUAUUGGCAGGUUUGGUCCUAUUAUAUACAAGGGAUCAGGCUAUUUUAAGUGUGUGAACUUCGCAUAUAAAACAUUUCUGAAAUUGUAAUAUCACCAACAUGAAUUAUCUAAAUCACUUUGUUCAUAGAUAACGUAACUGAAUUAUUCAAUUAAAAAAAAAACGUAACUGAAUUACGGAUUCUUUCGAAGUACCUUAUAUACUAUGAACAAAACAGUCAAGAAACUUCUAAACAAAGAACAAAAGGCACAUCAAGAUCGAGACAAAAUCCACACACAAAAGAACAAACUAAGGUAAAUAUAAAAGAUCUAUAAAAAGACACGACAAUCUUUUCGUAUCUCUCCAUGUUUCCUCCCUCUCUUUACACCAAUAGAACCCAUCUUAUCCAUAGCGUCCCCAAACGCCUUGAGAAACUUCUGCUUAUCUCUAGCCAUCUCAAGUACAAUGGGCUUCGUCCUCGGGUCAAGAAACAAGGCUUGGUCCGACCCGAGAAGGCCCAUGUUACUUCCUAGACCUUUGUAAUACCCAUUGUCGAACGCAAACGGAGUUGUGGCGUCGAGGGGAAGGGCGGCGCGGGAGCUUCUGCCGGAGAAAGGGCAAUACAUACGGAGUUCCUUGAGUAAUUUUGGGUUGAUAUUCGGGUCGGGUCGUUUGAUGCCUUUGAAGUCGUAGAGACGACCAACGAAACUCUUGCAGUGUGCGAAGCCGAUUGUGUGGGAGCCAGAAAGGACGACGAGAUCCUCUACCGUUAGUCCUUUUGACGCGAAGAGAUUGAUGAGCUGAUCGACCGUGGAGUUUGAUCGGGGGAUGUUGGGAGGGACGUUGGUUGCCGUUGAUCUUUUGCCGUCCCACCUUCCUUUUUUCACUUGAUAGUAAGGUCCACCUGCCUAUUUGAAAUCAAAACAACUAGUCAGGCAUCCUAAUAUUUUAGGGUCAUAGAUAAAUAGUAAGAAUUUUAUUAAAUGUUUUCAUACAUUAGGGGCCUAAUUAAUAUCUAUAUAUGUGUUAAUUAUAAAAAUUUAAGGGUCCAAAACCAAUUUUUGGGUUUUAGUCAACUAAUAGAAAUUUAUAAAAAAAAUUAUAUUAGGAGCCUAAUAACUACUACAUAUGUCAAUUUUUAAAAAUUUGGAGAUCCAAAAACCACUGUUUAUCUGACUAUCGAUAAAUCCGGCUAGUGACACAUACGUACCUUAUGAAUAAAAAAUCAAAGUACCUAAGAAGUUAAACCAAAGGCAAAGCUAUCUCCAUGAUGGUUUGGAUUCACAAUGUUCAAGAUAUGCUAGAUAGCUGUGCAAGCCGGUUGGCUAAAUUUUGAGCCGGUGUGACCUAAAAUAAAUUGAAAGUAUGGGGUUGAAGUAGGGAGUACCAGGUGGAUGAAAUCUCGAGCAGCGAUGGCGAGAAUAUCAGAGCAAGAGACGCGAGAAGGGCAAUGAGACUCAACCAAUGCCUUUGCCUUGAUGAUACUCUCAAAUCCUUCUUCUCUUAAUUCUUUAUUCUCUUCUGCCUCUCUUUCGGCUAAAUUCUUGCUUCCCUUCUUUGUUUCUAUUAAUAUCGACCCAUCACAACCCUUCAAAAUUCCAAAUACUAAGUUAUGUUGAGCAAGCACCAACAAUUUUAUAUACGUUUGCAUGCAUGUGAUGUGUAUCACUAAAAAAACAGCACGGACAGACCAAUAUACUUUUGAGGUUGUUACUAAAGUGUAACGAAUAUUGGCAUCUUUUGCUAAAAUGCGCUACAUUAGAUACACGACAAGUUCUUGUCAGGACCAUUUCCCAUAGUUUAUGGGUUUUUAUUAUUUUUCAGAUUGUAUGUGUUUUUACUGUUUUCCUAUAGGCGUUUUGACUUUCCAACUAUUAUUGAGGUAUAAUGAGAUGAUGCAUUGAAAUGUGACCAUGCCGGUAAGUAACGUGAAAAUGCGGGUCGUGGGUUCUAGUAUUUUGCUACCGUACGUAAUCAGGAGAAUGCAAGAUUCAAUGUUUGGUAAGAAUAGUUGACCUCAACGAAGCAGUCGUGGAAGAAGAGGCGAAUAGUGGCAGGAGCUGAGACGGGUGCUUCUUUGAACCGCUGGGAAGUGACAGAGCCGACAAGACUUUCGAGCUGAGGGCAUUUCUUGGAGUAGUAAUCAAUUGAUAGCUUUCUGUGGCGGAGGCGCGGCUGUGUCUGGAGAUGAGAGGUUGUAGAUUUCGCUGGAGAAAUUGGAAUGGUGGAUAUGAGGAAGAGGAAACGGAAUAUUAAGGAGGAAGUAAGAGAUAAGACAUGCAUGGUGGAUUGGUCUUUGUGUUGGAUACUGUGAGUCUGGACAAACUACUAUAUAGUUUACAGUUUCUGAAAUGAGUUAAGAAAAAAAAAUCCAGGCAGAGCUGAGAAAAAUGACAAAAAUUUGAUUUAUAAUAAAACAUAAAUAUUUUCGUGAGAUAAAAAGAGAGUGGUAGUAGUUUAUUAACGGUUUAUUUUUUUUUAUUCAAAAAGCUGUUGUCAAAUUCAAUAAACAAAUAUAAUGCAAUUUUAUUUGGUGUUAAUGUACUCUACAUACUUUGCAAGCAUGGACACGACCAAAAGUAAAUAUAACGGAUUGAUAUCCAAAACAAUCUUCACUUUAAUCAAAACAUUUUAUAAUAGAUGAAACCAAUCAAUCAUCUUGAAUGCCACAAUAUUACAAACGCUACAUUUUGAAACUGGAUAAACUCCUCUUACCAAAAAAUUAUGUAUAUUAUAAACCUUUUUUCAAGAAAAAAGAUUAUGUAUAUUACCCAAAGAAACGAUAUGAUCUAAUAGAUCUUACUGAAAAGUCAAUGCUGAUUCUAUCAGAACUAUAUCAGAAGUAAUCCUAUAUAUCAUGGAACUAUAUAUCGUUUUUACACAUUUGUUUGUAUUCUAUCACAUUUAACAUACCAAAUUACAUACACUUAUUAAAAUAUUUUUUUGCUAACAAUUUAUCAAGAUAAUUAUGGUUCAAUACAUCGACACUUAUUUGUAAUCCUUUUAAAAAAAAAAAUUGUCUAACGCUCACAGGAACGCAUCAUCACGCAUUCUACUCAAAAGAAAUGUAAAGUUAAUAAGCCAUGAUUGCUUCCUCAUAUCUGAGUUAGUAUAUGCAGAACUCCUGAUACCAUAAUUCACGAAUUUCCUAUUCACGAAUUUCCUACUGCCGCUAAAACUUAAAUUUAAUUUAGUAUUCCAAUCUAGUUUUGUCCGAAAGUCAGACCGGUAUCCAUAUUAAACGUACUUCUAUAAUAAUAAACUGACUUCUAUAAAUAUUCAAACCUGAAUUUACAUUGAAAAGAAUCUGAAAUGUAUUAUUGGUUCAUAAUUGUUAAGAGACUGGACUCAAGAUUGAUAGAUAGGGGGUCACAUGAACAUGUUAGAAGAUUCCAAACACUCACGGGCGCGACGAAGCGAAACAUUGUGGCAAAGAUUCUGCUUUGAGUAUUUGACUAAACAAAAUUUGUGACUAGAUCAUAUAUUUGUUUUGUAGUUGAUCCUAUUCUAUACAUACAGAUCUUAACUCUGAAAAAAACGCAUAGAAAGUGUACUUUUAUACUAGUUUUAUAACAUGACAAUAUUUUAUAUUUGGUAAACUCUUUCAGUCAUUACAGUUUUGUUAACAUUAUUUGGAAUGUAUAUUAUUUCACAUAUAUACUUUAAUUUUAGUUACAGUGUCAUUCAAAGCGAAUGAUAACGGAAAAUUAUCAAAUAUAGACAUUACUCUAACGCUUUUUAUGAACUCUUCCCAUGAACCUAUAUUAUUCACGUUUAUCAUUUUCCUGGUGUGUCUGAUAUUCCACAGCUUCUAGCUCGAAUGCUCUAGAAUGAUUUUGAAAUACUUGCAGGAUUAUCUAUGUUUUGGUAAAGUGAAUUUGCAGUGUAAGUAUAUAUGAAGCGUGGCUUUAGGCUUGUUGCGCAUUUAAUGCAUGUCGUUUGGUUCCAUGACAUCACGGAUUCUUGUAUACGAAUAAUACCUCUCAAGUCAAACUUGAGGACAUUAUAUUAUACGCCUCAACAGUGUCUAACUCAAGCUGAGUCAAGCUCCAACCCAUCUGGACUACUAGCUCAUUAAUUUUACUACAAGCUGAAUAUCUGAACUCUAGACUAGCCCAUUAAUUUUGGCCCAAAAAGAGCUUUGUUCUGGACCUAGCGAAAUUACCAAAACCUGGUUCAACCGGUCGAACCAAAUCAGCCCACAAAAUCACGAACCGAUAGGUUUUUUUUAGUAAAACAAAUGCAAACGAAGUGACGAGUCAUUUCCAGAUAGUUGACUUUCUCAUAGAUCUUCCAGCAGACGAGGUGUUCGACGAAAUUCCUCUGAGAGCUCCCUAGAACUUGCUGAUAAUUCCUACCAUGAAACUUAGGCGAAUCCUCGGUUCUGUUUCUAGACUCGCUACAGAAAAGCUCUCUUCCUCUUCCCGUUGCCCAUCUAGACAGAUUUUCACCGCUUCGCAACGAAAUGCCGGAGGCGACCACUCAGAAGCUUUACCUGGGAAGCACAUCGAAUGGGCUUCGCUUGGUUCAGUCAGAAACUCGAGGUUCGCUUCUGGGUUCUCACCGUUGAAGCCGAAACCGUUGGAUUCGAUCAUGGAUUUGGAUAGAGCCAAGACUAAAUCUCCGGAGGAGCUCACUUCGAU